AAUUCGAUUAGUUUGAUCAUGGCUCAGGACGAACGCUGGCGGCGUGCUUAACACAUGCAAGUCGAGCGGAAAGGCCCUUUUGGGGGUACUCGAGCGGCGAACGGGUGAGUAACACGUGAGUAAUCUGCCCUUCACUCUGGGAUAACUGCCUGAAAGGGUGGCUAAUACCGGAUAUUCUCUGGACAUCGCAUGGUGUUUGGUGGGAAGAUUUUUUGGUGGGGGAUGUGCUCGCGGCCUAUCAGCUUGUUGGUGGGGUAAUGGCCUACCAAGGCUUUGACGGGUAGCCGGCCUGAGAGGGUGACCGGCCACACUGGGACUGAGACACGGCCCAGACUCCUACGGGAGGCAGCAGUGGGGAAUAUUGGACAAUGGGCGGAAGCCUGAUCCAGCAACGCCGCGUGAGGGAUGACGGCCUUCGGGUUGUAAACCUCUUUCAGCACAGACGAAGCGCCCUGUCGGGUGGUGACGGUAUGUGCAGAAGAAGCACCGGCCAACUACGUGCCAGCAGCCGCGGUAAUACGUAGGGUGCGAGCGUUGUCCGGAAUUAUUGGGCGUAAAGGGCUCGUAGGCGGUUUGUCGCGUCGGGAGUGAAAUCCACUGGCUUAACUGGUGGCUUGCUUUCGAUACGGGCAGACUGGAGGUAUGCAGGGGAGAACGGAAUUCCUGGUGUAGCGGUGAAAUGCGCAGAUAUCAGGAGGAACACCGGUGGCGAAGGCGGUUCUCUGG
rnacentral:rRNA from 1 species